rnacentral:rRNA from 1 species
AUACGUAGGGGGCGAGCGUUAUCCGGAAUUAUUGGGCGUAAAGAGUGCGUAGGUGGUUUUGUAAGCGCGGGGUGAAAGGCUAUGGCUCAACCAUAGUAAGCCUUGCGAACUGUGAGACUUGAGUGCAGGAGAGGAAAGCGGAAUUCCUAGUGUAGCGGUGAAAUGCGUAGAUAUUAGGAGGAACACCAGUGGCGAAGGCGGCUUACUAAGCUACAACCGACACUGAAGCACGAAAGCGUAGGGAUC